GUGACAGCUGGCAGUAUGUGGUGGCCACUCUGCUGGACCUCUCCCCAUGGAACCCAGGUCCCUGCUGUGGAAAGGAUCCGUGUUCCUGCGCUUUUCAUCCGGUUUUGCCAUUGCUCAUUUGCACGCCUGCUGUGAUUCCUUGAGAGGGCUUGUAUUGUGCUCAUUUGUGAGUCUGCAGCACACUGCCUGCACGCAGGGUGCUCUCCCUCCAUAGGGCUGCCCAGCAAGUGAUCAAACAGGUCUCCUCCCAGAGUCUGACCUUGACGCUUGGGGUUUCUACUACCCAAAAGUGGGACACAGAGCGUGCAUUCUGGUGCAGGAAUCUUAGAGAGAUGUAAUUCUAGCCGAAUUACAAGAGAGGUGGAAGGAAACCAUGAGUUACUUUUUGAUUUGGGGAACGAGGAGGUGGUUUGGAAGAAAUUGGCCAUAGGAAAGACACAGCCCCAAAGUGGACCCUUAACAAGCAGAAUCCUGCACCUGGGGCUGGCGUGUGAGUGUGUGGGGUGAGGAUCUUCUGAGUGAAAAGGCUCGGCCCUUGCAUUUCAUGGAAAAGGUCACUAGUGUCAUCAGCAUUGUGGCGCCAAGCAAGGUUCCCCUCUGCCACCUCCCCUGUGCCCCGCUUCUCUUCCCAGUCCCGGCAACAGCCUCGAACCCUCAAAGCCAAUGACUCCAGAAAUGAAGACGUUUGUACAGCGGAAUACGAUUCAGCCACGAAAUGGGACCGAGGGCUGAUCCUCGCUACAACACGGGCAAACCUUGAAAACGAUACAAACGAAAGAGAUCACACACUCGAAAGGGCCAUGUGUUGUGUGAUUCCAUUUAUGGGCAAUGUCCAGAAGAGGACACAGAGAGCAGGUGUGUGGCAGCCAGGGGCUGGGGGCUGGAGGGGACAGAGGGCUGGCUGCUUACGUAGAUGAGGUUUUAUUUUGGGGGGUGUUGGAAAUGCUUCGAGCUAGGUAGAGGCAGUGGUUGUGCAACAUGAGGUGUGUGCUGAAUGCCACAGAAUGGUUCACUUUAAAAGGGAGGGGGGGUGGGUGGAGGGCAGCCCGGGUGGCUCAGCAGUUUAACGCCGGCUUCAGCCCAGGGCCUGAUCCUGGAGACCUGGGAUCGAGUCCCGCAUCGGGCUCCCGGCAUGGAGCCUGCUUCUCCCUCU
rnacentral:lncRNA from 1 species